GAUGUAAGCAAUGGUGAAAAGUUUGCUUGUAAAUCUAUAUCCAAGAAGAAGCUAAGAACUGCAGUGGAUAUUGAGGAUGUGCGGAGAGAGGUUAAGAUAAUGAAGCAUUUGCCUUCCCAUCCAAAUAUUGUCUCUUUGAAGAGUACUUAUGAGGAUGAUAGUGCUGUGCACAUUGUGAUGGAAUUAUGUGAGGGAGGUGAGUUGUUUGAUAGGAUUGUAGCACGGGGGCAUUACACAGAAAGGGCAGCUGCUGCAGUUAUGCGGACAAUCGUGGAAGUUGUUCAGGUGUGCCAUAAACAUGGAGUCAUGCAUCGC
rnacentral:misc_RNA from 1 species